rnacentral:misc_RNA from 1 species
GUCCUCAGCUUCAGUCACGCGCUCAACACUCCCGGGCAAAGAGCAGACACAUACAUCUUAGCCUCCUGUUGCUGCUGCAUAGAAGUGUCGCUGCCACUGUUGGUGUGUACGUACUUGAGCAUUUUUUCCGCGCAUUGCCAACGGCAUUCACGCAGACGCACUUGCUCUGGUGCACAAGUGAGAUCAUCGAUGGCGUCCUCAGUUUUUCUGCGUGAAGACAUUAAAGAGGUCUUCAGCAUUUACGAUGAAGACGUUUCGGGUACCAUUAGCAUGCAGGAUGCAGGGCGUGCCCUCUACACCGUUACCGGUCAGCGGGUAGCGCGAUCGGAACUUCUGAAACUCAUCGCCUUUGCUCAGAACGCGGUGGCGAAGCAGCAGCAGGAACUGCAGAACCGGCAGGAUCAAGUGUCAUCUCAGCAGCGCUCUGUGAUGACGAGCGCCGGAUCAAAAAAUUCACAGGAUGCGACGACUGUCGCGGAUAACGAUGCGACGCGCUUCGCUAUUAGCACCCGCUCAUCUAGUCGAACAGGCGAAUCCAUGAGCAACUUCAGUGUGCGAGAAUCGUCCCCGGCAACUCAGCAGGCCACUCCUUCGACAGUUGCGGCAUCAGCAGCAGCCUUUCCUGCCUCCCCCUCCGCGGCCGCUUCGGUGAGUCAAAUCCGAUUUGUUUCACCUCACUCUCACUUGCUGGACAGCAGCGAAGGCAUCGAUCUCGACGUCUUUGAGCAGAUUGUCCUGCGCAAGCUGAAGCACCGCAGCUACGAAGAAGAGCUGGCGUACACCUUCGCGCUACUCGAGGAUAAGUCUUACCCUGGCUUCAUCACGAAGGAGAGUGUGCGCCGCAUUGCCGCCGAGACGGGAGAGCCACUGACGGAGGCGGAGAUUGCGGAGAUGUUCGACCCACUCGUGACAGGGGUGUCAACCGCUGCGGUGGAUCUCUCGACGUUCACGGACCUUCAGCUGAAAGCUCGCAAAGCAGAAGACUCUUAACGUGCAGUCACAUACGCGCUCAGCGAAGAGUGGUGUGGUUGCGCGAAGAAGCUGAAAACGAGAACGCACAUAUGUAUACUACCGCCACUCCCGCGAGCACAUACAGAAACAACUGUGUGCCAUCCCUCGUGUGCAUGGUGCGCUGUUGGCACCGAUUGGGACAGCUUCUACAUCUUUUUUUUUCUCCUGGCUGCUACGCGCAGCCUCCUUUGAAGAUACGCAACUGCCAAAAUAGGUAUUGUCGUCGUUUAGUGUCUUUGCGAGACCGCGCAGCGCGCGUUGGGUGAACGCGCCGCGUCAAAGGCGUAU